rnacentral:lncRNA from 1 species
AGGCGUGAAAAUAGCAAAACACGAAACUUACUAUAUUAUAAUCGGAGUUAAGUACGAUUCAUACCGGAAAAUGAGUUCAAAAGGUACGAAAAGAAAAUGUUACGGUUUAAUAUUACAUCACCAAAAGAAAACCCCAAAAUAUAUGGCAUCGUUCAUAGGUCCUCGUACAACUUCCAACAAAAUCCCGGGCAAGACCUCGAUCCGCUACUCGACCCAUCCCGGUUGAGAACUACUACUACCUGCAAUUAAAAGACAUCUAUAUGAGCUAUAAAGCUCAGUAAGA